GACAGAGGAGCCAAGCGUUGUCCGGAUUGACUGGGCGUAAAGCGCACGCAGGCGGUCACGCGCGUGGGGUGUGAAAACUGGCGGCUUAACUGCCAGAAGCCAUCCCAUACGGCGCGACUCGAGCCAUGCAGAGGUCCACGGAAUUGCCGGUGUAGUGGUGAAAUGCGUAGAGAUCCGGAAGAACACCGGUGGCGAAGGCGGCCUGCUGGGCAGUAGCUGACACUGAGGCGCGACAGCGUGGGGAGCAAACAGG
rnacentral:rRNA from 1 species